CCUACGGGGGGCUGCAGUGGGGAAUAUUGCACAAUGGGCGAAAGCCUGAUGCAGCGACGCCGCGUGAGCGAAGAAGGCCUUCGGGUCGUAAAGCUCUGUCCUAUGGGAAGAAAGAUGACGGUACCAUAGGAGGAAGCCCCGGCUAACUACGCGCCAGCAGCCGCGGUAAUACGUCGGGGGCGAGCGUUGUCCGGAAUGACUGGGCGUAAAGGGUACGUAGGCGGCUAGAUAAGUCAGAUGUGAAAGGCAUAGGCAUAACCUGUGUAAGCAUUUGAAACUGUGUAGCGUGAGUCAAGGAGAGGAAAGUGGGAUUCCUGGUUUUGCGUUGGAAUGCGUGGAUAUCAGGAGGAAUACCAGUGGCGAAUGCGAGUUUUUGUGCUUAGACUAACGCUGGGGUAGGAAAGCGUGGGUAGCAAACAGGAUUAGACACCCGGGUAAUC
rnacentral:rRNA from 1 species